rnacentral:misc_RNA from 1 species
AAGUCGUAACAAGGUUUCCGUAGGUGAACCUGCGGAAGGAUCAUUAACAAUUGUCCAUUAUGGAUGGUUCAAAUCCAUAUCCACCUUUGUGUGCACAUCAUUGACAUGUUUGCUUUGGCAGUUUGCGGGGAGAAGAUCCUUUACCGUUUUUUCUCUGUGGAGGGAAAGGAGGAGGGGGAAGAGAGAGAGAGGAGAGAAAGUCCUGCUUUUUCUCCCUUGCCUUUUUCUCACCUCCCUUCCUUCCAGCGCUGCCAGAGUUUUUUUUUUUUUCAUGU